rnacentral:rRNA from 1 species
ACAGCGGAGAGUUUGAUCCUGGCUCAGGAUGAACGCUAGCGGCAGGCUUAACACAUGCAAGUCGCGGGGCAGCGGGGGAUGAGCUUGCUCAUCCCGCCGGCGACCGGCGCACGGGUGAGUAACACGUAUGCAACCUGCCCCUGUCAGGGGGACAACCCACCGAAAGGUGGGCUAAACCCGCGUACAUCCGGAGGGGGCAUCCCCUUGGGAGGAAAGGAGCGAUCCGGACAGGGAUGGGCAUGCGGCGCAUUAGCUAGACGGCGGGGUAACGGCCCACCGUGGCGACGAUGCGUAGGGGUUCUGAGAGGAAGGCCCCCCACACUGGUACUGAGACACGGACCAGACUCCUACGGGAGGCAGCAGUGAGGAAUAUUGGUCAAUGGUCGGGAGACUGAACCAGCCAAGCCGCGUGAGGGAAGAAGGUACAG